CCAGACUCCUACGGGAGGCAGCAGUGAGGAAUAUUGGUCAAUGGGCGAGAGCCUGAACCAGCCAAGUCGCGUGAAGGACGACGGUUCUAUGGAUUGUAAACUUCUUUUGUAGAGGAAUAAUGGCAGCUACGUGUAGCUGAGAUGCAUGUACUCUACGAAUAAGUAUCGGCUAACUCCGUGCCAGCAGCCGCGGUAAUACGGAGGAUACGAGCGUUAUCCGGAAUUAUUGGGUUUAAAGGGUGCGUAGGUGGCGUAUUAAGUCAGUGGUGAAAAGCUGCAGCUCAACUGUAGUCUUGCCGUUGAAACUGAUAUGCUAGAGAGGAGACGAGGUAUGCGGAAUGUGUGGUGUAGCGGUGAAAUGCAUAGAUAUCACACAGAACGCCGAUUGCGAAGGCAGCGUACCAGGCUCCGUCUGACACUGAAGCACGAAAGCGUGGGGAUCAAACAGGAUUAGAUACCCUGGUAGUCCACGCAGUAAACGAUGAAUACUAGAUUUUUGCGAUAUACUGUAAGAGUCUAAGCGAAAGCGAUAAGUAUUCCACCUGGGGAGUACGCCGGCAACGGUGAAACUCAAAGGAAUUGACGGGGGCCCCGCACAAG
rnacentral:rRNA from 1 species